rnacentral:rRNA from 1 species
UACGAAGGGGGCUAGCGUUGCUCGGAAUUACUGGGCGUAAAGCGCACGUAGGCGGCUUCUUAAGUCGGUGGUGAAAUCCUGGAGCUCAACUCCAGAACUGCCUUCGAUACUGGGAAGCUCGAGUCCGGGAGAGGUGAGUGGAACUGCGAGUGUAGAGGUGAAAUUCGUAGAUAUUCGCAAGAACACCCGUGGCGAAGGCGGCUCUCUGGGACGGUACUGACGCUGAGACGCGAAAGCGUGGGGAGCGAACAGG